rnacentral:rRNA from 1 species
UACGGAGGGUGCAAGCGUUAUCCGGAUUCACUGGGUUUAAAGGGUGCGUAGGCGGAUUUGUAAGUCCGUGGUGAAAUCUCCGAGCUUAACUUGGGAACUGCCGUGGAUACUAUCAAUCUUGAAUAUCGUGGAGGUAAGCGGAAUAUGUCAUGUAGCGGUGAAAUGCUUAGAUAUGACAUAGAACACCGAUAGCGGAGGCAGCUUGCUACACGAUCAUUGACACUGAGGCACGAAAGCGUGGGGAGCAAACAGG